rnacentral:lncRNA from 1 species
AGGCUUAAAUAUAAAUUACUAUCCUAAACUACAUGCCAUAUUCCACUUUGGUGAUUCACCUUUCAAUUUUGUUAAUUAGAUAAUUGAACUAUUAAUUUUUUUUAGUUUUGUUCCAUUAGACCUGCCACGUCAUAAAUUGAUGACGUGGUAUCGCUGACUAAGCUAAUCAGUGCCUAUGUAUAAUUAAAAAUUAUUAUUUGAAAUGAAUUUUUACAUUUGUUGAAUGUCUAAGGGUAAAAAGGUCAAACUAUUACAACAACUUUAUAACACUUUUAACUCUUAUUUCUCAUCAAAGCAAAGAACAAUAAAAAAUGCAGAUCUAGAUUAACCAAUUAUGAAAUGCUAACCCAAACUGAAAAGCAAUUAAAUUGUUAAAAUCAAACAUGGGAGAAAAUUCUUUAAAAGUAAUUUGCCUAAUCUACGGUAUCUACCACAGCACCACCACCGCCACCUUCCUCUGCCAUAACUUUUCUUCCUCAUCCUUCUUUCUCUUCUCCAUAGCACAAACCCAUAACCAUUAUCACUAUCAUUACACCAAUAAAAAGAAAAAAAUCUCACCAAAAUCUAUAUCCAGUAAACAAAUACAUAAAAAAAAAAAAAUCAUCAACGCCGGUAAAUAUACGAUCUAUGGAAAUUCAUCGCCGCCGGCAUCAGAAACUUAGAUCUGCACUGUCUAAACGAAGAUCGUUGCCGGCACUUGCCGCCAUCACUUUAUAGAUCUAGAUAAGAUUAAGUCAAAGGAAAGCCUAUUUAGAGGGAAAACAAGAGAUUUUUCGAUCGAAGUCUGUGAGUUUCAGAAUGGGUGAUAGAGGAGGAGAAAUUUUUGGUGCCAGAUCUAAGAGUUUCAAACGGAGUCUCAAGUACGGAUACAAAGAGAUUUUUCGAUCGACGAUCUUGAGUUUUAGAAAGGUUUCACAAAUGUUUUCAGAAUGAUUUUAAAACAUUUGAUAGUGUACUGGUGGUGAUGAUCUUGUUUACUUCAGCUACGUGGUUGACUGGUGGUGGGAUUCUUUGGGAGGAUGAUAGUGUACUGCUAUGAAGUUUAUCUAAUAAUAUAUAUUGUCUUUAUUAGUUAAUUUGUAAGUUGAUUCUUAGGGGGGUGUUUUCAAUUAAAAUUUUUAAAGACUUUUAAAGAUUUUAAAAGUUUGGUUGUAUUCAAUCAAGACAUUUAAAGAGUUUAUAAAAGUUUACCGG